rfam:Gossypium raimondii Chr10_contig_241, whole genome shotgun sequence.
AGUUCAUAGUGUGGGCACUUUCGAAGCAUCGUCCUGAAACGUCCUCAUGCCUCGUAAAAAGAUUCACCUUCAUAUUGUUCAAAAUUGGUAAUUUCUCACCUAAUUU